AGUGAACGCUGGCGGUAGGCCUAACACAUGCAAGUCGAACGGCAGCACAGUAAGAGCUUGCUCUUACGGGUGGCGAGUGGCGGACGGGUGAGGAAUACAUCGGAAUCUACUUUUUCGUGGGGGAUAACGUAGGGAAACUUACUCUAAUACCGCAUACGACCUACGGGUGAAAGCAGGGGAUCUUCGGACCUUGCGCGAUUGAAUGAGCCGAUGUCGGAUUAGCUAGUUGGCGGGGUAAAGGCCCACCAAGGCGACGAUCCGUAGCUGGUCUGAGAGGAUGAUCAGCGACACUGGAACUGAGACACGGUCCAGACUCCUACGGGAGGCAGCAGUGGGGAAUAUUGGACAAUGGGCGCAAGCCUGAUCCAGCCAUACCGCGUGGGUGAAGAAGGCCUUCGGGUUGUAAAGACCUUUUGUUGGGAAAGAAAAGCAGCAGGUUAAUACCCCGCUGUUCUGACGGUACCCAAAGAAUAAGCACCGGCUAACUUCGUG
rnacentral:rRNA from 1 species